CACGGGGGGAGCAAGCGUUGUUCGGAAUCACUGGGCGUAAAGGGCGUGUAGGCGGUUCGGUAAGUGGAAUGUGAAAUGCUCCGGCUCACCCGGAGUACUGCAUCCCAAACUGCCGGGCUUGAGUAUGGGAGAGGAUGAGGGAAUUCCUGGUGUAGCGGUGAAAUGCGUAGAUAUCAGGAGGAACACCGGUGGCGAAGGCGCUCAUCUGGCCCAAUACUGACGCUGAGGCGCGAAAGCUAGGGGAGCAAACGGG
rnacentral:rRNA from 1 species